rnacentral:rRNA from 1 species
UGAGGAAUAUUGGUCAAUGGACGAGAGUCUGAACCAGCCAAGUAGCGUGCAGGAUGACGGCCCUAUGGGUUGUAAACUGCUUUUGUUUGGGAAUAAUCGACAUUACGUGUAAUGUUUUGCAUGUACCAUUCGAAUAAGGACCGGCUAAUUCCGUGCCAGCCGCCGCGGUAAUACGGAAGGUCCAGGCGUUAUCCGGAUUUAUUGGGUUUAAAGGGAGUGUAGGCGGUUGGUUAAGCGUGUUGUGAAAUGUAGAUGCUCAACAUCUGACUUGCAGCGCGAACUGGCUGACUUGAGUACACACAACGUAGGCGGGAUUCAUGGUGUAGCGGUGAAAUGCUUAGAUAUCAUGAAGAACUCCGAUUGCGAAGGCAGCUUACGGGAGUGUUACUGACGCUUAAGCUUGAAGGUGCGGGUAUCGAACAGG